CAAAGCAAAUUAUUAAUUUGCCGAUAUUUGCAUAUCUAUUUUCCCCAAAUAUUAUCCUGUUAUUCCGAAACAUGAUAAUGUUACGAAUACCUUUAAAAGUUGCCUCUUCGGUCAUAUUUCAGUUAGUUUUCUCAUCAAUCUCCGAGAGUUUAGAACGAUGCGCGUUCCCGCGACAGAGCAUGAGUUUUUCGGUAUAACACCUGUAACAAACAUGUGAGGCUUCAGGCGAACGCAGGUACAUAUUGACAACUUCAAGGUUUGAGCCUGCCAGGACUCAAUCCCGUCAGCUCUGUGUGAGAGAGGGAGGGAGAUGACAUCAGCGAGAACAGAAGACGCUGAAUGCUGAGAGGAAGCUGACUUGUUUGGCUCCUGUGGGGCUUGGGCUGCUACAAAGUCUGCAGCACCUUGGCUGGCUGUAGACGCCGGGGCAGUAGAAAAGGGCCGUCAUCCGAUACUGACGAGGA